rnacentral:rRNA from 1 species
UACGUAGGGGGCAAGCGUUGUUCGGAUUUAUUGGGCGUAAAGAGCGUGUAGGCGGCCUGGAAGGUCAGCUGUGAAAACUCGAGGCUCAACCUCGAGACGUCGGUUGAAACCACCUGGCUAGAGUCCGGAAGAGGAGAGUGGAAUUCCCGGUGUAGCGGUGAAAUGCGCAGAUAUCGGGAAGAACACCCGUGGCGAAGGCGGCUCUCUGGGACGGUACUGACGCUGAGACGCGAAAGCGUGGGGAGCGAACAGG